AAUAAUUCAAUCUUGCAUGCUCCCUUAAUUUUAGGACAUGUUAUCACUUGAUCAAAUGAAUUUCAUGUGGAGUUUGAGCUUCCGUUUUGGAUUUUUGUUCCAUUUUGGCCCUAGUCUUGGACUAGUGGUUUGUAGUCUCACGUUUGAGUUUUGUUUCAGGUUAAUAGCACAAAUGGCCUAUGCUUGAUGAUGUGCCUCCAAUUGGAGUUGGCUUGUUGAUUGUUUAGGACUAAUUUUGACUUUGUUGUGCAGGGUUGAUAUUUGAGUUUGAACCUUAAUGGCUUGCACCUUUGUGCAUUGGCUUAUGUCUGUCUGUAUAUAGUUAACUGUGAACCAUUUGCUGUUUGGUUUGUCUGAGUGCUG
rnacentral:lncRNA from 1 species